GACGUAGGGGGCCAGCGUUGUUCGGAAUUACUGGGUGUAAAGGGUUCGUAGGCGGUCUGUCGCGUCUGCUGUGAAAACUCAGGGCUUAACCCUGAGCUUGCAGUGGGUACGGGCAGACUAGAGUGCGGUAGGGGAGACUGGAAUUCCUGGUGUAGCGGUGAAAUGCGCAGAUAUCAGGAGGAACACCGGUGGCGAAGGCGGGUCUCUGGGCCGUAACUGACGCUGAGGAGCGAAAGCAUGGGGAGCGAACAGG
rnacentral:rRNA from 1 species